AAUGAACGCUGGCGGCGUGGUUAAGACAUGCAAGUCGAACGGUUUUGUUGUGUAGGCAAUACAUAACAAAAGCAGUGGCGAACGGGUGCGUAACACGUGAACAAUCUACCUUCAAAUGGGGAGUAAGCUCGCCGAAAGGCGAAUUAAUACCGCAUGUGGUUGCCUCUCGCGAUGAGAAGGCAUACCAAAGUCAGGGACCGCAAGGCCUGACGUUAGAAGAGGAGUUCGCGGCCUAUCAGCUAGUUGGCGAGGUAACGGCUCACCAAGGCUAAGACGGUAGCUGGUCUGAGAGGAUGAUCAGCC
rnacentral:rRNA from 1 species